rnacentral:rRNA from 1 species
UACGUAGGGGGCAAGCGUUGUCCGGAUUUAUUGGGCGUAAAGAGCGUGUAGGCGGUCAGGUAGGUCCGUUGUGAAAACUCGAGGCUCAACCUCGAGACGCCGAUGGAAACCAUCUGACUAGAGUCCGGAAGAGGAGAGUGGAAUUCCUGGUGUAGCGGUGGAAUGCGCAGAUAUCAGGAAGAACACCCGUGGCUAAGGCGGCUCUCUAGUACGGUACUGACGCUGAGACGCGAAAGCGUGGGGAGCGAACAGG